GGGCCAUCGCUCAACGGAUAAAGGUACUCCGGGGAUAACAGGCUGAUACCGCCCAAGAGUUCAUAUCGACGGCGGUGUUUGGCACCUCGAUGUCGGCUCAUCACAUCCUGGGGCUGAAGUAGGUCCCAACCACGGCUUUUCGUAAAAGUGGUACGCGAGCUGGGUUUAGAACGUCGUGAGACAGUUCGGUCCCUAUCUGCCGUGGGCGUUGGAAGAUUGAAAGGGCUGCUCCUAGUACGAGAGGACCGGAGUGGACGCACCACUGGUGUUCGGGUUGUCAUGCCAAUGGCAUUGCCCGUAGCUAAGUGCUGGAAGAGAUAACCGCUGAAAGCAUCUAAGCGGGAAACUUGCCUUGAGAUGAGUCUUCCCUGACUCUUUAAGAGUCCUAAAGGAACGUUUAAGACUAAGACGUUGAUAGGUUGGGUGUGUAAGCGUAGCGAUACGUUGAGCUAACCAAUACUAAUGAACCGUGAGGCUUAACCUG
rnacentral:rRNA from 1 species